GAGAGGAGAGGAGAGGAGAGGAGAGGAGAGAUCUCUUGUCUCAGGAAUCACUGGGCUGGCAUGGCUUCAUCAAUUUAAGGCUUCCUUAUGACUGGAUUUGGGAAGUUCUCAUAUAGCAGGUUUCAUUCCCUUAGUUUAAGCUUGCGUUACUGUGUGGGUGAGGUGCUCCAAGUAUUGGGUAACCCAUAAAAAGAGUCAGUCUUUUGCAGAUGAAGGAUCUAACAGUGAAGGGAGUUAGUUCACCAGCUGGAGACCUUCCUAAGCCACAGAUUUCCUGUGUUACAUUGGAGAAAUCUACUAUUUGUGUUUCAGUCCUCAGUAUGCAAAAGUCGGAGGGUGCUACUUCACGCAAAAGACAUGUCAGGAGGGCAACAGGCAGAGCUGAGGUGGGAAGGGGAUCUGUCCUGCUGUUGUAGGUGUUUCUGCAUCCAGGCUGGGUGCAUGAAGCAUCAUCGCAGGAGCAGGACCCAGCUCAGUAGGAUCUUAAUGUGAAGGCCAUGUUGGUGGGACAUCAAGGACAACAUCCACUGAGUUUGCUGAGGAAGAAUGUUGCUGGAUGAUUGCACCCAUGGGAAGGGAAGACUAAGAGGUGAGAGUCUGUCUACAGGAAAGAAGUGAGGAGAAACACAGAUAAUAGCUUGGAGAUGGAAGAAAAGGUCAGAGGAUGUCCACUGGGAGAUUUUGGUGUCUGCUCUCAGCCACUGGUGGGUGAGGGACCCCAAAAACCUGGCAUGGUUGCACCCCAGCAAGCUUCCCAUCUGGGAGACAGGGCCAGCUUUUGUCCUGUGCCCAGCCUGGGGGCACAGCACUGGUAUUGUCCCAGGACUGCCUGGGAAAAUGGGAGGGGUUCCCCAUGAAACCUUUCCAUAGAGCAAAACAGCGUCAGAGCUGGGAAUGGGGGGGUCAGGGCAGACACCAGAAAAAACACACACACAACGGGCAAACAAUACCGGCAGUGUGCUGAGGGAAAGGGAGACCCAUGAAUUGGGAGUUUGAUAAGGAUUUUCUCCCGCGCGCACCCGCUCUCUCAACAGCCCCUUCAGUUUUUCUGGCACCCCCCUCCUUCCCCUUGCCUGCUUGCUUGUUUGGGCCUCAAACAGUGCGCUGCCUUUGUUCGGGAUACAGGUGAACGGCCAUCAUGUGAUUCACGCACACGCGCGCGCGCACAUAAAAAGGUUUUUCAGAGAGCCCAGUUCGUCUCAGACCCAAGGACGGGAGACCCGGGCUGGGAGCAGCAGGGAGAGCACCCUGUCUCAUGGAGGUUGCCUGAGUGUGAUGCUCAAGGGAAAAGCAGAGAGGAGCAAAGACAGAGGCCAACAUUUCAUGAUGAUGCUCAGAAAAUAUAUGGGUCUGUGGCUGGCCUCACUCGUGAGACAUCAUGGGACUUGAUUUAUGGCAGCCUGGAUGAGAUCAGGACCUUAUUUUUGCUGGGGCUCCCAACGCCAGCCUCAUCUUUGCCACUUCCUUGUGCCUCGCUCUCAAAUGCCUCCCUGACCUAAUGUCACCGAGCAACCAGUAUGAAGGUAGAUUUGAAGGCCUUUCCAUAAACAGGAGAAGCAAAGGGACCCUACAUCCCUCGGAGCUGAGCAUGGGAAACACUGCUGGGUUCUGGUCAUCAUCACACCUCAUAGGUUUUGGCUGAAGCUCCCAAUACUGAACCUAGACAUUCCUGGGUGACUCUUGACUCUCCCCAUCAAGAGACUCAGUGGGGCAGCCCGAAGAAGAAGGAGAUGGCACGGGUGACACAGAAAAAUCAGAGAGCUGCCUGCAACCCACUCUGUGUUUAGCAGCACUGUACCAGGAGGCACAUCCAUGCAGCUGCAGGAUAGUUAGCUGUGUUCCCCACACUGCUGGGGAGCCAAAGGAACACAGAAUUGAUCAUUGCAUGGUGGGGUUGUUUUUUUGCUCCCUCUCUUAAAUCCAGUGUCCUGUAUGGGUGGUGGCUGCCUUCGUCGAGGUUGUUGACAAGGGGUGGGUGAUGCCAGUGGAAUGUGGCCCUAUUUUUCAUCACCCCAAGACAAGAGUUCUAGGGAAACUUUUCCUAAAUCUCAACCUUGGGGGUGCAGGAACCCUCUUGGAAAGCAGAGAGGGCAAGCACCUCAGACCAUCACAAGGAUCCCAGGCAGCUCCUGGCCCAAUAUCUGAUCCAUUCCUUCAUGAGUGUGGGGAGAACUGAUAAUGGUAAUACUAUGCAAGUCCUCAUUGUCCCUGAGACAAUUUCCUACAUUACCAGGGCCUGGGAAGAUCAAAGAGUAGCAAGGCCUGGCAGAUCUGUCUGCUACCUGCUUUGAUGGGUGGCAGACUGUUAACCCCUCACCUCCUAACCAAGAAGCCAGGUGUAAUUCCAAAAAGCAAAUCCCAAAAAGCAAGUACUGAAGGAAUGAGGAGAUGGGGGAGAAAGUUUCAUGUUAGGUGGAGUCUUCCAUGUUCAGAGUGAUACAACAGAUGCAACUGAGUGCUCUUUGACUGUAUGAUCAAGGAGGGAUGCCCAGGGGGAAAAAGAAGAAAUGAAUACUCCUAAAUAUGUGUGGGCAGAAUGACCAGAAAAGAAGACUCUCUCAUGGGGUCUUUUGGUUGUAACAGUGCUGGGUGACCCUGAUGGACUCAGUCAGUGGAGGCCAAGGUAACUCUGGGAAGACUUUCAGCUCCAACAACCCAGUGGCAGCAGGGAGGCUCUUGGGGAGCCGGGGGAAGGGUUAAAUCAGGAAGGCUUCAGCCCGCUGCCUUGGCCCCUGUAAUUCUUCCAGAGAGUAGGACUGGGAGAACAAGGAGCCCAUUCUGUUCGCAGGAAUUAAUAGCAAGGAGUCAUCUGGGGUGUCAUUCAAGCCCUGAUCAGCUCCCGGAGGAAUGUGAGGGAGAGCGAGCGACGGAGCACGGCCCCAGGCCGAGGCACCAAAGCUAGGGCAGGCGCAUUUGGGCUGGUAACCAGAGCUACCAGCCGGCAUUUGAGUGGCAGGACCCCAACCUUUGCAUCCCCUCUGCCCCAUGAGCCCAUACACAAAUGGCUCCCACCAGCUCCUAAUUUGGGGACUGGUUUCCAGUUCUUUUGUCCCUUGUUCCCCAUCCAUUUCAUGAGAGGGAAGAUGUAUAGGCUCACCAGCACCAUUGUAUCCACUGCACCAAGCCAUCAGAAGGGAUGGGUUUUGUCUCUCUAAGCAAGCUUGGCCAGUCAGAGGGGCUCCAAGGAGCCCAUAAACACCUCUGGGGAUGUGGGUAGCUCAGCGGACUGUAGAAUCCGCUUUGCCACCACAUCAGUUCUCUCAAAGUGAGCGUGGUCACUGCAACAAAAGACCAAGCCUGCAAAUUAGCAUGUCCAUGUUUCAUUGUUUUGAUCUGCUGUCACAAAGACAGGCUUGAAAGCAUGACAUGGUGACAGUGCAAAAUUGCCUGUGAUAGAAACCUGCUUCCACAAGGCAAGGAGAUACUUUGGUCACCUAUAUCCUGGCCUGAGAAUGGAAUCUCAAAGUAGCCAACCUGACACCUCUCUGCCCAGCAGUGGCUGCAUUGCAAGUUCACACCUGCUGACAUAAGGUGUCUGAAGGGUCCAGAGAUGCACCCAGGCUGGCCCAGCAGGGCCACCAUAUGGCUGAUGGGGUCUGCGGGGCAAUCCUUCAGGCCAGUCCUAGAUGCACACAUAGCUGCAGGACUAAACAUGAGUUCAGCUCACCAGCACAGCACUGAGCACAGGUUGGGUAGAAGAUGACUCAUGUGAAAUGGGAACAGAGCUGUACUGGGGUGCUCAAGUUGCUUUUACUGACACAGAGCUGGUAGCCAAAAUGUAUCUCACUAAAACUUUCCUUCCUUCCUUCCCAUGUGCCUCAGGUUGCUGUGAAAAUGGAUUUAAGCACUAACACAGCAUCUAAGCAUCCCACAAGAGAUAUGCGGUGCCUCUGGGAAGGACUCCUCAGCCCCCUCUCCAUCCCCGUGCCACCAGUGCCACAAUAAGCAGCCCUUGUCGUAGAGGGGUUAAUAAAUGAUGCAAGAAAGGA